UUUGGUCUUAUAAUCAACAAACAGUUGAAACAUAAGCUGUAAUUAAUAUCAAACUAAUAAAUGCACUUUGCCAUGCCUUUUUUUUACCCUGUUGGAUGAAGUGGGUAAAUUUCUUAAAUCUAUUAUCUAUUAUGCAUGAUAAAUUGCAAUAUGUGCCUUGUUAUAAAUGACUUAAAAAUGAAAAGUUAUUUAAAGUUAAGUUGCACUAUGGUUUACCGGGACCAUUAAUAGGUAAUG
rnacentral:misc_RNA from 1 species